UACGUAGGGUGCAAGCGUUGUCCGGAAUUAUUGGGCGUAAAGAGCUCGUAGGCGGUUUGUUGCGUCUGCUGUGAAAACUGGAGGCUCAACCUCCAGCCUGCAGUGGGUACGGGCAGACUAGAGUGCGGUAGGGGAGAUUGGAAUUCCUGGUGUAGCGGUGAAAUGCGCAGAUAUCAGGAGGAACACCGAUGGCGAAGGCAGGUCUCUGGGCCACUACUGACGCUGAGAAGCGAAAGCAUGGGGAGCGAACAGG
rnacentral:rRNA from 1 species